UGGGGAAUCUUGCGCAAUGGGCGAAAGCCUGACGCAGCAACGCCGCGUGGGGGACGAAGGCCUUCGGGUUGUAAACCCCUUUCAGCAGGGACGAAAAUGACGGUACCUGCAGAAGAAGCCCCGGCCAACUACGUGCCAGCAGCCGCGGUAAUACGUAGGGGGCGAGCGUUGUCCGGAUUUAUUGGGCGUAAAGAGCUCGUAGGCGGUUUGGCAAGUCGGGUGUGAAAACUCCGGGCUCAACUCGGAGACGCCACUCGAUACUGCCAUGACUCGAGUCCGGUAGGGGAGUGCGGAAUUCCUGGUGUAGCGGUGAAAUGCGCAGAUAUCAGGAGGAACACCGGUGGCGAAGGCGGCACUCUGGGCCGGUACUGACGCUGAGGAGCGAAAGCGUGGGGAGCGAACAG
rnacentral:rRNA from 1 species